rnacentral:rRNA from 1 species
CCUACGGGAGGCUGCAGUGAGGAAUAUUGGUCAAUGGACGAGAGUCUGAACCAGCCAAGUAGCGUGAAGGAUGACUGCCCUAUGGGUUGUAAACUUCUUUUAUAUGGGAAUAAAAUGUUCCACGUGUGGGAUUUUGUAUGUACCAUAUGAAUAAGGAUCGGCUAACUCCGUGACAGCAGCCGCGGUAAUACGGAGGAUCCGAGCGUUAUCCGGAUUUAUUGGGUUUAAAGGGAGCGUAGGUGGAUUGUUAAGUCAGUUGUGAAAGUUUGCGGCUUAACCGUAAAAUUGCAGUUGAAACUGGCAGUCUUGAGUACAGUAGAGGUGGGCUGAAUUCGUGGUGUAGCGGUGACAUGCUUAGAUAUCACGAAGAACUCCGAUUGCGAAGGCAGCUCACUGGACUGCAACUGACACUGAGGCUCGAAAGUGUGGGUAUCAAACAGGAUUAGAUACCCUAGUAGUC